UAUUACAGAUAUUCACAAUUAUUCUGUAAAUAAAACUGUCCUAACAUUUCAGUGUGCAUGUUUCUGUGCUCAUUUUUUCAGAUUCAUCUAAAAACAUCACAGUUUCAGUCAGUCCCUCUGGUCCAGUACCAGAGAACAGAUGGAGACCAGGAGAAUUUUAUUGGGACUGGAACCAGUUUAAAUAUUAACUUCUCCAGAGACAGGCGAAAAUAAGGCUCAAAAAGAGAUCGGGGUUGGACAUUCUAACCUGACUCACCUUGAUGUUCAGUGUUGUGAAACACAUUGUGGAUUUUACAGUGGAGUCCUUCCUUGGGUCCUUGCUGGUGUGUUUUUCAGUGUCAGUGUGAUCUGUGCAGCUUUCCUUUGGAAAGUACGAAAGAAUGUGAAGCCACAAGAAGAGGACAGAACUUACAUGUCACUGAAUCGUAGAAAUGUCGGCUCUUCAGAGUAUGAUGUCAUUAACACAGCUCCAAGGUGACCUUCACUGAUUCUUCAGGAUCUAUCUAAUUUUUUUUUACUUUGUGUUUCUAAAUAAAUAAUUAUCAGUCACACUUCUCUUUAUUAAAAUGCAUUUAAUAGCCACUGAGCACUUAUAUAUCAGUUUCUUAAAGGGUGCUGGACCUGCUCAAUUUAGUGGGAUUGCACAAAGCCUGUAGAAAAUUCUUCCUAGAGUUUUGAUACUGACUAUAAUCCUGUUUUCUGAUAAUGUAAAAGGUUACAGUGUUUUUCUUUGUUUUGUUUUUUGCAUUCGAUGUGAAAAAGCGGGGGCAGGGACAUGUUUACCACUAGGUCACGUAAGCUUUUAACAGCACUGUUCAAGAAAUAGAGACAUUAAUUAUCUACACAGCUUCUCUUUUCUAUGUUUAAGAGAAAGACCUUGAAUAGUUAAGAUGCCUUGUGAGACCUGCCACAUAUUAGUGUCCUGUACAUUGGCUCUUUUUUCAGUAUUUAUGCUUCUCACAUAUGAUUGCUUGAUUAUUUUCUCCUCAACCAAGUUUAUUGCACUACACCUGAGUGCCAUUCAUGCACAGCUGAACCUUGUACCACCAAUAUUACCACAACAAAUUGAACAAAUUGAACUCAACAGUUCAAUUUUUUAUUUUAUACCAUGUUAAGUGUUUCCCAUAGGUAACCACGCAUAGUAGUAUGUUUAGUAAAUGCAUUAAUUAAUUAUAUAUAUCGACAGAAUAAAAGAGGAAAUAAAACUUUUAG